rnacentral:rRNA from 1 species
UCUGGUUCUUUGACUUAUGGUAACACCUAAACCAUUCCGAACUUAGAAGUGAAAUAUAAGUCGAGGAAACAAUAUUAGUAAGGACACUUUCUGAAAAAGUUUUCUUUGAGCCAGAU